AGUGAACGCUGGCGGUAGGCCUAACACAUGCAAGUCGAACGGCAGCACAGUAAGAGCUUGCUCUUACGGGUGGCGAGUGGCGGACGGGUGAGGAAUACAUCGGAAUCUACUUUUUCGUGGGGGAUAACGUAGGGAAACUUACGCUAAUACCGCAUACGACCUACGGGUGAAAGCAGGGGAUCUUCGGACCUUGCGCGAUUGAAUGAGCCGAUGUCGGAUUAGCUAGUUGGCGGGGUAAUGGCCCACCAAGGCGACGAUCCGUAGCUGGUCUGGGAGGAUGAUCACCCACACUGGAGCUGGGACACGGUCAAGACUCCUGCGGGAGGCAGCAGUGGGGAAUAUUGGACAAUGGUCGCAAGCCUGAUCCAGCCAUACCGCGUGUGUGAAGAAGGCCUUCGGGUUGUAAAGCCCUUUUGUUGGGAAAGAAAAGCAGCAGGUUAAUACCCCGCUGUUCUGACGGUACCCAAAGAAUAAGCACCGGCUAACUUCGUG
rnacentral:rRNA from 1 species